rnacentral:rRNA from 1 species
CAGCAGCAGCCGCGGGAAUACGGAGGGUGCAAGCGUUAAUCGGAAUUACUGGGCGUAAAGCGCACGCAGGCGGUUUGCUAAGUCAGAUGUGAAAUCCCCGAGCUUAACUUGGGAACUGCAUUUGAAACUGGCAAGCUAGAGUCUUGUAGAGGGGGGUAGAGUUCCAGGUGUAGCGGUGAAAUGCGUAGAGAUCUGGAGGAAUACCGGUGGCGAAGGCGGCCCCCUGGACAAAGACUGACGCUCAGGUGCGAAAGCGUGGGGAGCAAACAGGAUUAGAUACCCGAGUAGUCCCUGUCUCUUAUAC